rnacentral:rRNA from 1 species
GAUGAACGCUGGCGGCGUGCCUAAUACAUGCAAGUCGAGCGGUAAGGCCCUUCGGGGUACACGAGCGGCGGACGGCUGAGUAGCGCGUAGGAACGUACCCCAAAGUGAGGAAUAAGCACCAGAAAUGGUGUCUAAUACCGCAUGUGGUCUUCGGAUUAAAGCCUUCGGGCGCUUUGGGAGCGGCCUGCGUAUGAUUAGCUUGUUGGUGAGGUAAUGGCUCACCAAGGCGACGAUCAUUAGCUGGUCUGAGAGGAUGAUCAGCCAGACUGGGACUGAGACACGGCCCAGACUCCUACGGGAGGCAGCAGUAGGGAAUGUUCCACAAUGGACGAAAGUCUGGUGGAGCAACGCCGCGUGCAGGAUGAAUGCCUUCGGGUUGUAAACUGCUUUUAUAGGUGAAGAUUAUGACGGUAACCUAUGAAUAAGGAUCGACUAACUCCGUGCCAGCCGCCGCCGUAA